GUGGUUUUAUGCUCGGAUCAUUUAUGUUUACUUUAUGUUCUUUUGUUUUUGUGUUUCAUCGCAGGUGGAAAGAUUUAGAAGUAGCAAACCCAAGAACUUCCUAAAGAGUUCCCAGGAUCUGACUUAAGGAACCAAAGCCAAGAUUGACUCACUGGCUAAAGAACGUUUAACCUCUGUCAGCUGCUUAGAAACGUUCAGAACAUAGAGACAACACUGGGAGAUGAUGGAGGGCGAUAACUUCAUGUGUGCAUCAAGGUGAACUUUGGUUUUUUAUAAAACCUGACUUUCGACAAGCGGCUUUAGCAGCAAAUGCUCCCUGGGCAUCUUCACAUGACCACAUUAAAGCAGGUCAGUUACUG
rnacentral:lncRNA from 1 species